UACAGAGGUCUCAAGCGUUGUUCGGAUUCAUUGGGCGUAAAGGGUGCGUAGGCGGCCAGGUAGGUCUGCUGUGAAAACUCGAGGCUUAACCUCGAGCUGUCGGCGGAAACCAUCUGGCUAGAGUCCGGAAGAGGAGAAUGGAAUUCCCGGUGUAGCGGUGAAAUGCGCAGAUAUCGGGAAGAACACCCGUGGCGAAGGCGGUUCUCUGGGACGGUACUGACGCUGAGACGCGAAAGCGUGGGGAGCGAACAGG
rnacentral:rRNA from 1 species